AUUGAACGCUGGCGGCAUGCCUUACACAUGCAAGUCGAGCGGUAAGGCUACUUCGGUAGUACACGAGCGGCGGACGGCUGAGUAACACGUAGGAACGUACCCCAAAGUGAGGGAUAAGCACCAGAAAUGGUGUCUAAUACCGCAUGUGCUCUAAGGAGUAAAGCUUUAUGCGCUUUGGGAGCGGCCUGCGCAUGAUUAGCUUGUUGGUGAGGUAAGAGCUCACCAAGGCGACGAUCAUUAGCUGGUCUGAGAGGAUGAUCAGCCAGACUGGGACUGAGACACGGCCCAGACUCCUACGGGAGGCAGCAGUAGGGAAUUUUCCACAAUGGGCGAAAGCCUGAUGGAGCAACACCGCGUGCAGGAUGAAGGCCUUCGGGUUGUAAACUGCUUUUAUAUGUGAAGAUUAUGACGGUAACAUAUGAAUAAGGACCGGCUAACUCCGUGCCAGCCGCCGCCGUAA
rnacentral:rRNA from 1 species